GCCUUCUUGAAGGACCUUCCAGUGGACCCUCCCCGUGUCCACUUUACUCAGAAUGGGCAAGAAAAGAAAAGAAGCAAGAGGGUCGGCCUAUGGGGCAGGUGCCGGUGCCGCCUCGAUACGCGGUGAGCGCUGGUCAGCCUCUGGGCAGUCACUUCGAGGAAAGCUGCCCCCUCCGGGGAGUCCUCACUGA